UUUUUUCCCUAUAAACACAAAAGGCUAGAUAGCAUACCUUAAAUAUUGAAAUCGUCGUGAAAUUAAGCUAUGCUACCUUUUUUAAAAGUAGGGGAUCACCUAACAUUUUCGGAACAGAAAAUGUCCUAGAAACAUUUCCAAAAUAUGUGUAACGUAUAUAUGUGAAUUGUGAAAUACGUUUUAUUUUGGAUUUUUUUCUUUUUCUAGUCAACAAUAUGAAGAUUUCGCGGGUUAGGCCUGGGCCGCAUAUCCGAUAGAAUAGGCCCAUAACUAGGCUAUAAGGCCUAUAAGUAGGUUUAACCUCAAAACUAAUGAGACUUUCAUUUAGCCCUGACUUUUUUUUUAUCACGCAGAGGAAACUUAACAGUUGAACAACAAGCUUCCACCACAAAUGUCGCAGGAAGAUUUACUACAUUGUUCACUGUAUACAUUCUCAAUUGUCAAGUUAAGAAUCCACUAGGUUUUUUAGGACGCUGAAUUGCAAACGAACCAUUCUAUUAAAACAUACAUAAGCAUCUAGUUAAACUAAAACAGCAGAUUGCAGAACUGGAUAUAAAGAUGCCAAAAGCAAAGUUGAAUCAACUAAUGAAAUAGUUUGACAGAACUCAAGAUCCACAUAGUAAUAUAAUUUGAACCAGAGAGAAACAUCCUCAAAAACGUCGCUAGAACAUAAAAAACAAGAGAGAAAGCUGCUUGCAGGCUUCAGACACGGGGUGCAGCUGGAGCUCCAGGUCCAGCUGGACGAGGGGCCUGUCCUGGCUGUCCAGGCUUAGGAGCAUCAUCCUGACGAUCAUAAUGUGGAAAAUCAUUCAGUAAAAUCUUAGAAGAGCAAACCAUUUCAACAAAAAAAAAAAGAUAGAACAGAAUAGUCUCACCGACAGCAGUACCGUUAAGGAUUAAGUGAAGGAAAUAGUAGCAAGCUUAAUUGACCUCAAAAUUCAACUUCAUGAAAGUUAUUUUGAAACAACUUAGUAUAUAAAUCACAUGGCAACAAGAAUCUUAAGAUGAUCUAACCGCACAUCUACAAAACUUGGUUAUGCAAAAUUCAAACUACAUUUUUGUACAUGUCUUAGUAACCAGAUUUACUUCAAACUAAUCUUACGUAUUUAAGUGAGAUACUAGUAUUCAGAAACAAGUUGCAUCUUUCAUAUCUAAACACAAAUGAAGCAAGCAAGCUGAUUUAAAGAUUGAGAAAUGGGUCUUAAAUCGAUCAAGGGUCAUUGAGUUGAGAAAGAGAGAGGGAUUACCUUGCGUCUGACAAAACGGGGAGGAGGAGUACGAACCCUACGGUUGGUGCGGGAACGAACUCUAACGACAUGAGAGUGGAUAGCACAUGAGACACAGUAUUGUGUCUUUGCAUACAGCUUUGGCAAUGUGUAUCCUACGAUUACAUAAAAGUUGCAUAAAUCUCAGGACAUUUCAAUUCCAAUAGUCGAAAAAUCCAAACUUCAUAACAAAACAAAAAACAAAGAGAGAAAUGAAAUGAAUACCAUCGUAGACACUGGCUUCCUGAACAUCUCUGAUAGCAGCCUGUUCCACAAUGUUCCUCACGAUGAACCUCUUAAUGGCCUUGUCCUAUCCAAACCCACAAGAUCAAAAUCAAACUUUGCUUAUAUAAAUAACUGGAGAUGAUUGAGAAGCAGAGGUGGAGGAAGAGAGUACCUUGGGGCAACAUUUGCCACAGUUGGAGCAUCUGAUUGGGUUGACGUGACCUCUGUUGUGCUUGUUCCUUCCACCGUUCCUGCGCUUGAAAGUCUGCAACACAGCACAACAAUGAAGAAGCUCACAUCAAUUCACGAUCUUUGCUGUAAAUCAAAGAUGAGGAAAACAAAGAGAGAUCGAGAAGACGAUGAGUACCAUCUUUGGCUUUUCCUCUCUGUUCUGUGUGUGCGUCUGCUGCUGCCGGCUACUAGGGUUACUCUCUUCUCAUGGAACUCCUCGUCAAACUUCAGAUUUGAGGACCUCAUAUUUACUAUUACUUAUUGGGCCUUACAUUAUUAUGGGCUUUUAACAUAUACUGGGCUUAGGCAGUCCAAGGCUCCAAGCAAAAGUUGGUUUGGUUCAAGAUCGGUUAAGUUGGUUCGAUUCAACUAUUCAAUCAAACAUAGUCAUGUCAACUGUACUAAUUUUUUUUUCCUACAAAACUCACAGUAACCUUAUCAAAAUAGAAGAAGAUAUGGAUAGUAAAAUGGAUAGAGCAACAUAAGAAUAGAGUCAUAGACAUGAAUUUUGUAUACACUAAAUAUGGCAAUAUAUUAAUAUAUGCAGGAGGACUUAUUAUACAUUUAAACUCAUGUAAACAUGGAGGAGUGCUUUAACUGAUCUGGCACAUGCACACUGAUAAACCUAUUUGACUUAAGAGUACUUGUCAUCCAAUGCAAGUAAAGAAACCAACCAAACCUCUCCACCAAAUUUAAGUAGUUCGUUUAUUAGAUAAAUUGAAAUCAUCUUUGCUCUAGCCUCUAGAUCGCAGUCAUCUCACAUCUCUCACGACUAGUUUGUUUGAAUUGAAAGAACAAAGAGAGAGAAAGAGAUUUGACAUAUCACACAAUAGGAAUCAGGUCGAGAUAAGCUUCGAGACACUUGGAAUCAAGGACCCCUUUUCGUCUUCUGCGGUUGGCGAUGGAAAGCUUCCUGUAAUGAACGAAUGGUUCAAGAGCUCAGCAGCAGUGGGCCUGCGUGGAUGCAUGUCUUGGCACUGACUCAAGAAAUCUCUAGCCUCCGGAGAGAUAUCUCGACCACGCAACUUCCACUCGUAGAAUUCAUCAAAUAUCUCCUGGAUAGGUAUUGCUCCUAACAUCUCAUAAACCACACACCCCAGAGCAUAUAUAUCAAGUCCCGGCUCGAUGACCAGUCCGUUUGGCGCAAAAGACUCUGGUGGCAGAUACUUAGCCGUACCAAUGGACACGAAAUCAUAUUCGGAAUCAGGUUCCAUGGAUGAACCGAAAUCAGCAAGCUUGAGAUCCCACAGCUCUCCAGGAGUUGUGGAAGGGAAGACGAGAACGUUGGAUGGCUUGAGGUUGCAGUGAACGUAACCAUGGGAGUGAAGAGCAACGAGUCCUUCUAGGAUCAUACGAGCCGCACGUUGGACCAGGGUCUCUGGUAUCUUCCGUGACUGCCUGCGAAAACCGUGUAUAAGCUUAUGGAGAUUACCUUGGGAGGCGUACUCCAUAUAGAUCAUGUAGCAUUCGUAGGGUUUGGUUCGUAAGUGAAGAGUGUUUGAGGCAUCGACGAUGCGAGGAUGAUCUCGGAAACGAUGCAUAAUCCUAAGCUCCUUCUCGAGAAUAUUUUUGAGGUGCAUCGGCGAUGACUUCUUUGCGCAAAGUCUGGAUUCUGAGUCCUUCUCCAGAGUGACGCUACCGAACCUACCGUGACCAAGAGAAGAGACGGUCUUCGAUGAAGACUCGUCCACAAUACAAUCAUCAUCUCUGCAAAGUUGCUCCAUCAUCAGUUUACGUAUUCGAUACUCUUUAGGGUUUUGUAUGUGUGUUUUCUGAUCAGAUUAACUAAUUUAAAUAUAUGUGAUAGAUUAUUAUCACUACUAUUUAUAUAUAAAGUCUCUAUAGGUCGGUCAUCGGUGUGGUGGGUUCGAUUUUCCAUUAUUUAUAGGGGAACUAGGACAUGUUUUCCUUUUUCCAAUUAUGAGAUUAUAUACACGCCCAAGUUAACCUAUAUCAAAUUUCAUUAUUAUAUGGUUAAACACAUAUUGAUGACCCACUAUAUAUUUACUAGUGUUGUUAAUUUAAUUAUAUUUUCAAAAGUUCCCCUAAAUCUUUCGUAUUUGUCGAAAUCGUCUCUGAAUAACCAGAAUGACAAUAAUAAACCUUAUCGUUUCUUAAUUCUUAUUCGCUCCCCUCUGUUCCCAUCGUCUUGCUGCGCCGAUCUUGCUCUGCUCUUUCUUAUUCUCCUGUUCUUACAAACUAUUCUCUCUAAUAUCCCAAAUAUUUAUUUGUAAUUUUAUUCUCCAAAGGUAAAUAAUGGCAGCAAGCUCGGAAGAGCAGAGGACGACGACAAGAGAUAGUAUUUACAGAGCUGCCAGGAGUAUAAAGCGACGAGACAACAGUCUCUACAACGCUCUUCGAUCUAUCUACCAAGACUCCCUCUUCGUCCACGAGAUCUCUCAGUUAUGGCCUAUGCUCCCUCUUCUUGCGAACCUUCGUUGUGGCCUCUGGUACUCUCCCAGAUUCGACGCCACCUGCUACUUCAAAUCCACCGAUGGUCAUACCAAUAAUCUAUCUUUCAACACUUCUCGCCUCAAUCUCCAUCUUCCUCUUCUCGCUGGUAUCAUCAAUUUCAUCUUCUCUGUUUCAAAAACUUCUCUUAGAUCAUGUUUCUUUGAGAAGUAGCUUUGUUCUGUAUAAAAAGCAUUUAUCUUUAUGCAUUGUGCAUUGUUGUGUACUUGUGUUGUGUGAUUGCCAAUUGAAAAGGAUAAACUUUUUCCAAUGGAUAGGAGAAAAAGGAGGAUGUAUCAUUAUUGAUUCCACUCGGAAAGGAAAGCGAUUUCCGGAUAGUAUGUCGAAAACGAUUCCUAUAUGGUCAUGUGUCUUGAAUCGUUCAAUUUUUAAUCAUUUGAAGAGAUUAUGUAACACUGAUGCAGUGAGUUACAAUUGUUCAUUUUGUCUGCAUUAGUCGAGGUUAUAACUUCUCCUUCUUAGUAUUUACAAUACUGUGUUCAUUGUUUUUGGAAUAGGGAUUGCCUAGUGAUGAUGAUCUUGAUGGUGAUAAGAUAAGGCAGGUGUUAGAUAAAUGGGAUUGUUCGUUACAUCUACCACUUUGGGUUUCAAAUACAGAGAGGGCCUCUAUUGAAGCUCGAUUGGAUGAGUGGACUAGAGAAUUAGAUGAGAGUGGAGCUGAUAUAGCUUCUCUAGCUUCAUGUUUGAGAAAGCCUUUAAGGCCUCUUUGGGUUUCACAGAAAACAGUUAUAUGGUUGAAUGCAGUACCUGAGCCUGAUUCAUGGGAUUUCACCCCUCUCAUCCUUGUCUCAGCGUCUGUUUCUGGUGAACUCCAACACAGAACCAAUUCAGAGUUUAGUUGGAAUUAUAUUCCAGGAGCUGGUGAUGAUGAAGAGAGUUGGGCUAGAGGUUUAUCUCCAAAUGUUUUCUGGACACAUGUUGACGAUCUGAUUCACUGGGGGCCUGAUUUGUGUAACCAGAAAGUGGCAGAGAUUGUUGAAAACGAUAGAGUGUAUCGAGCGCAGAGAGGUCAGGAAGCUCCACAGGUCGUUGUUAAGUGCUCAAAAUCUAAUGGUAAAGUCAAUCACGCUAAGAGUGAUGAAAUUAUGUCUCUUAGUACAUCAAAACCUAAAAUUGGGAUGAUGAUAGUUGAUGAAGACAACUUAGUAUCUUGGUUGGCAUCAACGAAUCUUGCUGUUGGGGCCUCACUAGUAGGUGAGCUUAGUUUCUUACUACAAAUAUUGUCUCUUCCUUUGCAUUAAAUAAGCUUUCAGCUUCUCAUCAAAUCUUCGUAUCCUUUUGUGUUGCAGCUGGUAAGGUCACAUCUAUUGACUGUAUAUUAAAUUGUGAUCAAAAUCCCAUCUCUGUCCCUCUAUCCUACCUUGAAGAGCAUUUGCAUCUACCCAUGAAGGUAUGCCAAACUCUUGCAUGAUACACAGUUGUUUCCUCGAUCAAAUAUUCAUUAGAAUUGUAUGUUCUCCAGGGUUCAAAAUAUGAUAGAUUUUCCAUAUCAAGAGAGCUUGGUUCCGCAGUUAAUUUUGCUAAGCUCAAGAUGAGUUCAGGGAAGAAGCUCUUAGUUUGUUGUCAAGAUGGUAAGUUUAUAUCUGCAUUCAAGCAUAAUUUGUGGCUUGUAUCUUUUAUGGAAGUCUAAUCCAUACUGUAAUUAUGAUUGACAGGGGAAGAUAUCAGUGUAUGUGUUUGUUUGGCCAUCUUGAUGUCAUUAUUCAACCAAGAAGGUACUUCAUCUUGUAAAUUAUCCGGUUUUUGGUUCAACAAUGUAUGAAAUGUACCAUCAUAAUGCUGAGACAUUUGAAUCAUUUGCAGGGGCCUUUGAUGGUGGAAAAAGUUUUGAAGAGAAGAGUAUAACAAAAAUGGAAAUGCGACGGGUGCUAAUAUUUAUAUGCAAAUACGCCGUGAAUGCUCGACCAUCUAGGGGAAACCUUAGGCAAGUUUUUGGCUUUCUCUCGUCUCAGCUCGAAAAUUCCGACCAGUGAAGUAGAAUAAGCCUCCAUGUAUCCCUCAAAGCUUUUAGUUGUUAUUCCUGCACUAGUAUUUACGAUUAUGUUGCUGUAGAAGCUUCAGAAAUAAACUCUACCUUCAUAAUGAUAGGCAUAAAUCAUUAAUUUUUUUGUUUAGUUUACACUUUCAAUAACUAAAAUAUAUAUAGAUUGAACAACAUUUAUCUAUCCCAUCAUUAAUCAUUAAUUGCACAGUAAUUUAUUAAUAUUUUAACAAAAAAUAUAAUGAUAAUAUCAUUAUGAUAUAUAUAUCACAUUUCACAUUUGUAUGCUUUAUAUAAUAAGAAUAUUCAAAAGCAACCCAAAAAAAUCUAUAAAAGGGAGAGUUCUAAAAAUAUAUUAACUUCAUCUUCAUUAGAUAUGUUAAUUUUUUGCAUUUUAAUAAAUAAGUAAUUUAUAUCAUUAAGCACCACAAAGUAAAUUACCAAAAUAUUAUAAAAUAAUAAAUACAUACUAAAUUUUACAUUAUAUAUUUAUAUGUUUUGUAUUAUAUAGUAAAAGUUUUAACUCCAAUCUAAAAACUAGAGGUCUAACAAAAAAAAAUAGUGAUUAAAUUUUGCUAACCAGAAGAACUCUUCAUUGGAGACUUGUCUGUGUUCUUGGCAACCUAGUGUCAUUAUGGAGCAGAUUAUGGGAGAUCUAAAGGAGUCUUCAAUGGAGACUGUCUGUGUUCUUGGCAAAUGUGCCUACGGCUUUGUGUCUCUCCAGAAGGAUUCGAACUUGGAGAAAUCAUACGUCAAAAAGACAAGUAUUCUCAAACAGUCCAAGAAUAUCGAGAAGGAACUCAGGAUCAUGCUUCGUUUCCACAACAAUCCCUUCAUCGUCCAAGCUUCAAGUGAUCAACUUCACUUUGUGACCGACACCAAAGGCAUGAGUUUAUGUUACAUCUACAUGGAGUAUGCUUCCUUAGGUAAUCUCGACAAAAUGAUCUAUGAUGCCGGAGGGAGAUUGCCUGAAGAUUGUGUCAGACGUGCCACUCGUAUAAUCCUACAAGGACUCAAGGCUCUUCACUCUGAAGGUUACGUCCACUGCGACCUCAAUCCGACCAAUGUACUUGUAUUCCCUUCCAACACUUCUGGUGAACCAUGGGAUCUCAAGCUUGCUGGUUUCCGUUUAUCCAAAGAACCGACUAUGGACUCUAGCCUGUUGUUUCCCGGAACCCUUGAGGAGUACAUGCUGCCUGAGGCCAUUGAGCCGGACAGGUUUGUUGGGACGGAAAAACUGAUCAGACCAGCCCGUGACAUAUGGUCUCUAGGGCGUAUGGUUCUAAAGAUGUUUGGGGGUAUUCCUGUGGAGGUGAGAGGUCCUAACACGUGGAGGCUGUACGAAGAUAUCUCCCCGGAGGCCACAGAUUUUGUGAGGCGGUGCUUGGCGUGGAACCCUUCGGAUAGGGCAACCGUGGAUGAACUCUUAGACCAUCCUUUUGCUGCUGAAAAAUUUCCAUUGUUUCUUUCUUUCUUAAGGGUUCCUUCCAUCAUAAGGAAGAUUGCCAGGGAUAAAUUGAAUGGAAGACGUGAGGAACUGAUACCAAAACCUCAAGGGUUAAUCUGGUAAGAACGAAAAUGAAACUGAUACGCAUGAGGCUCACUCCAUUUCUGUCCCAUCUCAGUUUCCUCUCACCCAUAAGUCAAAACUCUUAAAUCUGAAUGGGGUGGAGUCGCAACCUCAAAACUUAAGUAGAUUGUAAAACUGAAGUCUUAUAUAUGAUAAUAACAAAGUCGAGACAAUUAUUUAAAAAAGCAUUUGAAAAUUCACAUGGCAAUAUAAUCUGAAGGCAACAUAAGAAAAACAAAAGUUUUGAAAAAUGGAACUAUAAUUUAAGCUGCUUGCAGGCUUCAGACACGGGGUGCAGCUGGAGCUCCAGGUCCAGCUGGACGAGGGGCCUGUCCUGGUUGUCCAGGCUUGGGAGCAUCAUCCUGAUGAGAUUAUAAUGUGGAAAACCAUUCAGUAAAAUCUCAGAAGAGCAAAUCAUUCAAACAAACAAAAAAAGAUAGAACAGAAUAGUCUCAUCGACAGCAGUAUUGUUAAGGAUUAAGUGAAGGAAAUAGUAGCAUCUAUUUUGAAAGUUAUUUUGAAACAACUAGUAUAUAAAUCAUAUGGCAACAAGAAUCUUAAGAUGAUCUAACCGCAUAUCUACAAAACUUGGUUAUGCAAAAUUCAAACUACACUUUUGUGCAUGUCUUAGUAACCAGAUUUACUUCAAACUAACCUUACGUAUUUAAGAGAGAUACUAGUAUUCAGAAACAAGUUGCAUCUUUCAUAUCUAAACACAAAUGAAGCAAACAAGCUCGUCUAAAGAUUGAGAAAUAGGGAUUAAAUCAAUAAAGGAUCAUUGAGUUGAGAAAGAGAGAGGGAUUACCUUGCGUCUGACAAAACGGGGAGGAGGAGUACGAACCCUACGGUUGGUGCGGGAACGAACUCUAACGACAUGAGAGUGGAUAGCACAUGAGACACAGUAUUGCGUCUUU
rnacentral:lncRNA from 1 species